GAUGAACGCUGGCGGCGUGGCUAAUACAUGCCAGUCGAGCGAACAGACGAGGAGCUUGCUCCUCUGACGUUAGCGGCGGACGGGUGAGUAACACGUGGAUAACCUACCUAUAAGACUGGGAUAACUUCGGGAAACCGGAGCUAAUACCGGAUAAUAUAUUGAACCGCAUGGUUCAAUAGUGAAAGACGGUUUUGCUGUCACUUAUAGAUGGAUCCGCGCCGCAUUAGCUAGUUGGUAAGGUAACGGCUUACCAAGGCAACGAUGCGUAGCCGACCUGAGAGGGUGAUCGGCCACACUGGAACUGAGACACGGUCCAGACUCCUACGGGAGGCAGCAGUAGGGAAUCUUCCGCAAUGGGCGAAAGCCUGACGGAGCAACGCCGCGUGAGUGAUGAAGGUCUUCGGAUCGUAAAACUCUGUUAUUAGGGAAGAACAAAUGUGUAAGUAACUAUGCACGUCUUGACGGUACCUAAUCAGAAAGCCACGGCUAACUACGUG
rnacentral:rRNA from 1 species